GACGAACGCUGGCGGCGUGCUUAACACAUGCAAGUCGAACGGAAAGGCCCUGCUUGCAGGGUACUCGAGUGGCGAACGGGUGAGUAACACGUGGGUGAUCUGCCCUGCACUUCGGGAUAAGCCUGGGAAACUGGGUCUAAUACCGGAUAGGAGCCAUUUUUAGUGUGAUGGUUGGAAAGUUUUUUCGGUGUAGGAUGAGCUCGCGGCCUAUCAGCUUGUUGGUGGGGUAAUGGCCUACCAAGGCGGCGACGGGUAGCUGGCCUGAGAGGGUGGACGGCCACAUUGGGACUGAGAUACGGCCCAGACUCCUACGGGAGGCAGCAGUGGGGAAUAUUGCACAAUGGGCGCAAGCCUGAUGCAGCGACGCCGCGGGGGGGAUGACGGCCUUCGGGUUGUAAACUCCUUUCGCUAGGGACGAAGCUUUUUGUGACGGUACCUAGAUAAGAAGCACCGGCUAACUACGUG
rnacentral:rRNA from 1 species